UACGUAGGUGGCAAGCGUUAUCCGGAUUUAUUGGGUGUAAAGGGCGCGUAGGCGGGAGCGCAAGUCAGAUGUGAAAACUCAGGGCUCAACCCUGAGCCUGCAUUUGAAACUGUGUUUCUUGAGUGCUGGAGAGGCAAUCGGAAUUCCGUGUGUAGCGGUGAAAUGUGUAGAUAUCGGGAAGAACACCAAUGGCGAAGGCAGGUCUCUGGGCCGUUACUGACGCUGAGGAGCGAAAGCGUGGGGAGCGAACAGG
rnacentral:rRNA from 1 species